AACGAACGCUGGCGGCGUGGAUAAGACAUGCAAGUCGAACGGAGAUACCAUAGCUUGCUAGGGUAUUUUAGUGGCGCACGGGUGAGUAACGCGUGAGUGACCUGCCGAUAAGUUGGGGAUAGCCCUGGGAAACCGGGAUUAAUACCGAAUGUGAUCGAAAGAUUAAAGGAGCAAUCCGCUUAUUGAGGGGCUCGCGUCCUAUUAGUUAGUUGGUGAGGUAACGGCUCACCAAGGCGAUGACGGGUAGCCGGUCUGAGAGGAUGUCCGGCCACACUGGAACUGAGACACGGUCCAGACACCUACGGGUGGCAGCAGUCGAGAAUCAUUCACAAUGGGGGCAACCCUGAUGGUGCGACGCCGCGUGGGGGAAGAAUGUCUUCGGAUUGUAAACCCCUGUCAUGUGGGAGCAAGGCGCAAGCUUGAUAGUACCACAAGAGGAAGAGACGGCUAACUCUGUGCCAGCAGCCGCCGUAACAC
rnacentral:rRNA from 1 species